rnacentral:lncRNA from 1 species
UUUGUAAUAAUAUGAUGGUGGUGGUGGAAGUGGUGACUUAUAAUAGUAAGGAGGGUAUGGGUGUGGUGAGAGUGAAGGGGGUGGUGGAGAAUUGUAAUAAUAUGGUUUGUGAUAAGGAGUAGGUGAAGGCUUGGGCUUGGACUUUUUGCAAUCAUAUGGUUUUUUUAGGAGCAUAAGCAAAUGGCUUGGCCUUUAGCACAACUUCAUACUUUGUCCUUGGACUUCACCUUCAAUUAUUAAGCUUGGUGGGUAUGUUACAACGUGCGCCCUUAGGAGGAGCAGGAAGUUUAGCUUUGCGCAAAGCCGUCAACUAUGAUUGCCAUAAGCCUUUAUGGUCUUGCUUCCUACUUCACAUGUCACUUCGACCGUGACACCUAGCGGUUGAGUAGAAUGUUUGAAUCACACACACAAAUUACAAAUCAAUUUAUCAUAUCACUAGGGAGCAUUACUAUCUUUUAUAUAUUUUUUAAAUUAAAUUUAAAGGAAGGAAACAUGUUUCUGUGAACACAAUGUGGAAUAAUAAAAAAUUACUUAUUUAAGUUUUAUUUUAACACCCACAUUUAUAUGGAAAAUUAAAUAAAAAAUAAGUUAGUGUUAAAGACAAAUACUAAUAAGCUGUGUCAAUUUUUAACUGUUUAAAUAUUAAAAAAAAGUUUCCUGAAAAAAUUUAUUAAAAAAAGUAACAUGUUGAACCUACUCUCGUCACAUUCAUUUGUUGGCUGUAUUGAUUAUAUCAGCAAUAUUCGAUUCUGAACAAAAAAAUAUAAUUAUUUUCUAUUAAUUUUAUUUUUUGCAACAAUAAUUUGUACUUUUAUAAAAAUGUCAACUAAAGUCGAUUACAAAAGGCUGACAUAUUAGUACUUCAAUAAGUAAUAUAGUGUAGGUGAGCAAUCAUUUGCUUUAAUUAGUUGGCAUAGAUCAAUUCUGAAAAUGAUUUUAUUAAUUAAAAUGAUAGUUAUAAAAUAGUUGACUAAAUAAUGUUACACCCGAAUGAAAAUUAAGCAAUAGUUCAAUCGUCAAUUUCGCAAAUUAAUUCAAUAUUGAGUUGAUUCUGAGUACUUUUAAGUUUUUUCCAAUUAAAAAUGGAUAGAUCAAUAAAAAUUAAUAAUUAAAAGAGAAAAUAUUAUUAUUAUUAUCGUUAUUAUUAUUAUUUUGUAAUUUAAAAAUUACAAUAUUUUCUAUUAAAGUACAAGAAAGAAGAUAAUAAUUAAGAUGAUUUGAAACUUUGGAUUCCUCAUAAUUAACGGGUUUCUUAUUCGAAUAUAAAUAAUUGGCAUUAUAUAUUUAAUUAUUUUUAUCUUUAAUUUUUUUAUAUAGAUGUGUCUCAAAAAUACUCUAAAAAAAAUAAUAAAAAUUGUCCCAUUAUAAUUUUUUAAUAAUAUUUCUUCUAUAAUAAAUAUCGAACCAGUCUCGUAACUGUAACUGGAUAAAUAAAAAGAGAAGUUAUUAUUGUAAAUUAAAUUUAUAUUUUUCUGAACAAAUUUGAUAUAGAGAAGAGCAAAUGAGAGAGAAAUGUAGAAUAAAAAUUAAGUGGAAGUGAAAAAAAAAACAGAAAAAAGAUUAAAAAUAUAUUAUAAGACUAUUAUAUCUUGAUUAAAAAUAAUGUUUCAAUUAUAAGUGCAGUUGAAAAUCUUUAAACACAACGAUACACAUAAUGAUAUUGAUAGAAUUAUACAAAUAAAAAUAUGAGCUUGACGACCAAUAAAAAAUAAUUAAAAAAAACAUAGCAAAAGGGCAGCUCAUGUUCCCCAAUUAAAUAUUGUAGAAAACAAAAUUACAGUUAAAUAAUAAUAAUAAAAAGGAUAUUGUUAUUGUGCAUGUGUAUCAAAAUGAAAAAUAAUAAUAAUAAAAAGAGGUAAUGAAUGCACCUUUGAGGUGUUUCUUGUUGUGAGAGUUUUGAGGGCAUUUCAUCUGUAACAAUAGACUUUAUCCACAACUUUAACGAUCAAUGGGUGGGAAUAUUCGUGAGGGUGAGGAUAUGGAAUGUAUGGAGAAUACACGACCGGUGGAGGAGGAGAGUUGUAGUAAUAAGGUGAACGAGGCUUUGGAGAUGGUGGAGGUGGAGAUUGGAGGAAGAGAGUUGUAGUAGUAGUAGGGUGAAUGAGGCUUAGGAGAUGGUGGAGGUAGAGAUUUAUAGUAUUAAGAUGUUUGAGAAUAAAUACGUAUGUUGAAGAUCUAAUUUAUUAUGUUAUUAAUUUGUAAAAAAUUAUUCUUUAUUUUAUUAUCAUAUUCAUUAUUAAAUUGUUAAUUUGAUAAGUCAUUGAUUAAAAUUAGAUGUUUGUUAUCAUGAUAGAGAUUAUGAUAAUGAGAAACAAAUUUUUUAUAAUUUUAAUUCAAAUUAUUCUUGAUAGUAUGAUUAUCGUGAAUAGGACAUCAAUAAUCAUGAUAGAUUAAUAUAUAUGUAAUGAUCUUUAUUGAAUAAAGAUUAAUAAAUUUUUAUUGAAUAAUGAUCUUUAACACGAGAUUAUCAUAGUAAUUAAUAAGUUAUUGGUAUAUUUUAAUUUCGGAUGCCUAAUGUCUUAGAACACUAGUUGAAUGAAUAUUAGAUAUGAUUAAAUACUUGUAAAAUUAAUGAUUAAUCAAGAAGGAAUCCAUCAAUUCUAGGUAAUGAGUUUGAGUUCUAUUUUAGAAUUAAGACAUUGACUAAGGCAAUUGAAUGAAAGAAGAAAAUAGUUUCUUAAGUCAUUCAUGUGUUAGCUUAUUAGAGUUUGACAAUAAUACUAUACUCUAGAGUUAACCUAUGAUGGAAGCAAAUAUUAUAUUCUUCUUCUAUUGGUUCUCGAAGGGAAAAAGAUUUUGUUUCAGGUUAUCCGGACUUUAAGGAGUGUUGUUAAACGCCUAACUUGAUUAAUAAAUUAAUUAUGAUUAAUUUAUUAUCAAUUUAGUAUUGAACCUACAAGGUCACACACAAACGAGUAUUUCAAUAUUUACAAAAGAAAAUAAUUUAUUUUGAUAAUUAAAUUAGAGAAUUUAAUUUAAUCAAAUAAAUAUUUUAGUGAAAUAUUAUUAUAUUUUUUGCUAGGACCAAUAAUAUAAUUAAUAUAUAAAAAGGGAAUAUUAUUUUAUAAUUGUGAAGAUGUCCAUAAAAUAAGAAUAAUAUUCAAUUGCUAUGUAUCAAGGAUGUGAUUAAUUAUUGUAAUUAGUUAUGUGAUUAAUUAUGAAUUAUCUUUAUCUUAAAUCAGUAAGCUUCUUAAAAUAAAAUAUAUGAGAUAAUAUUUUUUUUAUAAAGACAAAUAUAAAUGAAAUUAUUUUAUAUAUUUUCUUUUUUUUCUCACCCAAAUCCAUAUCUCUUUAAUAUUAUGAAUAAAAGUAUCUAUAUGAGGCAAAGCGUACUAAAUAAAGACUGAAAAAGGUUCAAGUCUAGUUUUAGACGUGAAAAGUAGAAAAAAAAUUAUUCUUUAGAGUUUCAUCCAUCAAAGAAUUUGAUAAUAAAGAUUGACCUGAGUAUAGAUACAAGUAGAGUUUUUAGACUAUUAAAAAAAAUGUGUUGCUUCAAAACCUACAUUUUGAUGCAUUAAUUUAUUAUUUAUUUAUUUAUUAUUAUUGUAUAUUUUGAAUAUAAAAUAAAUCCUAAUUUUUUUCCUACAAUUAUUAGAAACAUUUUUAUGUAACUAUCAUACUACACACACGAGGAUAUGAGGAUAUGGUGAAUGAGGUGGUGGAAACUUAUAAUAGUAAGUUGGAAGAGAUGGUGGAGGAGAAGAUUUGUAGGAAUAAGGUAUUGGACGACUUCAUUUUGUGGAAAGAGUCAUGAUUUAAUUUGUUUUUCCUCUCCUUCUCUUAAAAUUUAGUUAUGCCCGUAUAUCUUAUUGAAAACCACAUUUUUUUAGUCUUUCUGGACUGGAUACCCCUACCCCUGGCCAUGAUCAUAAUUCAUAACUAUUAUAUAUAUAUUACACGUAUUUUAUUUGUAACAAAUGGUAUAUCGAUGAGUUUUCUGAAUGUUUGAUCACAUGGAAAAUUUCUGAACGCGUCCUAGAGACUGAAACAGUUUUAUUUGCGCAAUAUAGAGUGUCGGUUUACUAAAAGAACGCACAGAUAGAUAUAUAUCUAUUCCAAAAUGAAGCGUAUGUAUACACGGAAUGAAAAAUGAUUAGUAAUAAUAAAUUAAUUUUACGAAAAUUUAUAAUUCUUUUAUUUUUUAUCUCUCUUAGUCGUUAAAAAGAUUAUGUAAAAUAUUGUAUGAGGACAGUUUCUUAAUAGAAACAUUCUAAUGCAUGUGAUACGUACGGAAUUAUUAUAAUUACAGUUGCACGAAGUAUAUUAUUAAUUAAUAUUCUCCUGUUAACAACCUUUUUUAUUGAGUAGUGUUUUUUCAUUGGAGGAAAUCCUUAAAUAUAUUUUUGGUGAAUCUAAGUUUACUUAAGCGGUACAUUAAUUAGAAAAAAAUAUUUUUUCCCCUAUUUUGUUUAUAUAAGUAAAAAAGUGAGAAUUAUAUGAACGUGCGAAGUGUGUGUAUGAGAUAAUAUUUGUUUUACAUAAUAUACCCUAAAUCAUAAAAGAAGCUUCACUGUGUAACUUAAAUUAAAAUUUGUAUAUCUCCCCCAUGUGCGUCUGACUACUGUUACCAUGCAUAUUCUAAUUAAGAACCCUGUUAGUGCCUUUCUUCUUUUUAUCCUCUUUCCUUCAUGAUCACCAUUGUUAAAUGGCAGUCAAUUCCAUGUACGUAUUGCAUCUCUGAAUUCAAGUCUAGCUGUCUCAUCGAGUUUAAUUUGUGAUAAUUGGUCUCAAGUAAAAAAGACCACUAAUUUGAUCAUUAAAUAUAUAUAUAUAUAUAUAUAUAUAUAUAUAGACAUAUAUAUAUAUAUAUAUAUAUAUAUAUAUAUAUAUAUAUAUAUAUAUAUAUAUAUAUAUAUAUAUAUAUAUAUAUAUAUAUAUAUAUAUAUAUAUAUAUAUAUAUAUAUUGAACAAUGCUAAUUAAAUACCAUAUAUAGUCAGAAAUAGAUCAGUGGGGGGUGCAUGUAUGUUAAGUUAGAAAGAGAUAAGAUCGUGGUUGUGGCAUAUAGACGUGCAUGGGGUGGUGUGGCUUAUAUGAUAUGAGAAAAUCAAGUAAUUGCAGGCAUUUUUUUUAAAAAAUAAAAUGACUUCAUUAAUCGUCUCCAACAUCAGUUAUAUAUAUUGACAUGUUUUUUAAAAUAAUCAAAACUGUCUCGCUCCCAAAUCCCUCUCACUUCUUUUCUUCCCUCUCACUGGCUUAGGGAUUUUCACUUUCGAAAAACAUGACUUAGGCCAUAAUUGAAGCCAUUAGACAGUAAUAUAUCAUAUGAGCAGGGGCCAAUCCAAACUCAAAUGGCUGUGAGGACCGAUAAUAAAAAAUAAAAUUCAUCUAACACAUCAUAAAAAUAUAUAUUCAUAAAUUAAUGUUUUAAAAUGUUAAUUACAAUAAUAAUCUAUUAAAACACGGGACCUUAUUCUUAUAUGUACUAAAUUUUUUAUCAAUUCUUCAAUGUAUAUUAACAAAAUGUGAAUCAAGAAUCCAUCUUUCAUCUUCUUUAAUAAUUAUAGAUUAACAAAAUUUGAGAAAAAUAAAACCUACUAUAUAAUAAGUAGAAUUAGUCAAAUAUAAUAUUCGGAUAAGAUAUUUUACAAAAAAAGAAAUAAAAUUACUAUUGAUUUUAUAAUUUAAAAUUACAGAAAAUAAAAAUUGAUGGUAUAAUAACAAAAAUUGUUAAAAAAUAAUAUUUAAAUAUUUUUUUUAAAAAAAGACAAAAUUGCUAUUGAUUUUAUAGUUUGAAAAAAAAGAGAUAAAAACAAUUAUAUAAAUUGAUGGAUUUGAAUCCAUCCAUUUUUUUUUAUGGAUAAAUUAGAUGAAUUUAUUGUGGAUGAAUUAAUUGGAUAAUGGAUAAAUGAAUUCAUUUGUCACCACUAGCCUGGGACCUAGUCAUGUCCACCAUAGUGGAAAAGUUAUUUUGACCAUUGGAUUUAAAUUUUUCUUGAGAUAAGUGCAGGCUUAUCUUAAGACAAGUUACACUGGAUUAUUAUUAUUAUUAUUAUUAUUAUUAUUAUUAUUUUCCUUAAAAAGUGUUAUUCUUUCCUGUUCUAGUUUAUCGCCCCUUUCUUUCUCUCUCCGACUCUCCCUUCCAUCUACUUAUUCUCCUCCUCCCCUUUUUCAAAAUGUCAUGCUUCUUCGGUGACCUCAACAACUUCUUUGUCAUCAAGCUCCUCGUCGGACACGUAGUUAGCUAUGGUAGGAUUUGAAUACGAAAGAAUGGGCUUCAACGUCCACAAAAUGCUGAUUGGUGCGAUUGUUACUUUAAUGCAAGUGUAGGUAGGUUUGGAGCUUUGAUGUAGGUUUGGGAUAUGUGUGUGUGUGUGGAAAGAAACACGACCUAAAUUUAGGGGAUAUGUAGAUUAUUAUGCUUUUUUAUGCAAAUAUUGACAAAUUUAUUGCAAACAACACAAAAAGAUAUAUUAAAAGAAUUUCACAAUAAUUUGAAUGAAAUCAUACACAAUCAACCAUAUUAAUCUACAAAGAAACAAAUAAGAAAGCUCUAAAAGCAGCCUGAAUUGAUAUCAACAUUUCUAAUCUUGCUUCCUUGUCUUGAAUCUUUUUGAUUUGUCGCUUCCUUGAACUUAGUAAGAACAACACUUGAAAAAUGGCCACCAAAUAAAUAGAAGCAACCUCAUAUGAGUCAUGAAGAUCGUAGCUUAGAGGUGAUACACUCAGACUCUUAUUCAAAGAACUUGUAUAACAAAUUAUAUGCUUAACUCUGCUCCAAAUGGAACGGAAAUUUAUUCCACAAUGAAUACUAGAACCUGAAAUAAAAUAAAAGUUUUCAAUACUUCUCAGAGUUUAUAAAUGCAUAUAAAAUAGACAUUUAUCUANNNNNNNNNNNNNNNNNNNNNNNNNNNNNNNNNNNNNNNNNNNNNNNNNNNNNNNNNNNNNNNNNNNNNNNNNNNNNNNNNNNNNNNNNNNNNNNNNNNNNNNNNNNNNNNNNNNNNNNNNNNNNNNNNNNNNNNNNNNNNNNNNNNNNNNNNNNNNNNNNNNNNNNNNNNNNNNNNNNNNNNNNNNNNNNNNNNNNNNNNNNNNNNNNNNNNNNNNNNNNNNNNNNNNNNNNNNNNNNNNNNNNNNNNNNNNNNNNNNNNNNNNNNNNNNNNNNNNNNNNNNNNNNNNNNNNNNNNNNNNNNNNNNNNNNNNNNNNNNNNNNNNNNNNNNNUGGUGAUGGUGAUGGUGGCGGGGGAGAUUUAUAGUAAUAUGGAGGAGGUGAUGGUGAUGGUGGAGGAGGGCUCUUGUAGUAAUAAGAAGGUGGGGGAGGAGAUUUGUAAUAGUAUGUUGGUGGUGGUGGAGGUGGUGACUUAUAGUAGUAAGGAGGGUGUGGGUGCGGUGAGGGUGAAGGGGGUGGGGGAGAGUUGUAAUAAUAUGGUUUGUGAUAAGGAGUAGGGGAAGGCUUGGGCUUGGGCUUUUCGCAAUCAUAUGACUUUUCAGGAGCAUAAGCAAAUGGCUUAGCCUUGAGCACAACUUCAUACUUAUCCUUGGACUUCACCUUCAAUUUGGUUCCCUCAUUAAGCUUGGUGGGUAUGUUACAGCGUGAAUCCUUAGGAGGAGCAUGGAGUUUAGCCUUGC